GGGGCGAAGCGCGGGAAUUCGAUUCAGGCCUAACACAUGCAAGUCGAACGGCAGCACGGAGCUUGCUCUGGUGGAGAAAAAAGAACGGGUGAGUAAUAUAUCGGAACGUACCCUGGAGUGGGGGAUAACGUAGCGAAAGUUGCGCUAAUGCCGCAUACGAUCUAAGGAUGAAAGUGGGGGAUCGCAAGACCUCAUGCUCGUGGAGCGGCCGAUAUCUGAUUAGCUAGUUGGUAGGGUAAAAGCCUACCAAGGCAUCGAUCAGUAGCUGGUCUGAGAGGACGACCAGCCACACUGGAACUGAGGCACGGUCCAGACUCCUACGGGAGGCAGCAGUGGGGAAUUUUGGACAAUGGGC
rnacentral:rRNA from 1 species